rnacentral:rRNA from 1 species
UAUAGAGGGGGCAAGCGUUAUUCGGAAUUAUUGGGCGUAAAGGGCGCGUAGGCGGCUUGGCAAGUGGAUGGUGAAAUCCCUCGGCUUAACCGAGGAACUGCCGUCCAAACUGCUUCGCUUGAGACCGGGAGAGGUGAGUGGAAUUCCCAGUGUAGCGGUGAAAUGCGUAGAUAUUGGGAGGAACACCAGUGGCGAAGGCGGCUCACUGGACCGGUACUGACGCUGAUGCGCGAAAGCGUGGGGAGCAAACGGG